UGUGAGCUACCCAAUAUGUGUGGAGGGAUAGAACCUGGGUCCCCUGGAAGAGCAAGGAAUGCUCUUAACUACUGAGUCAUCUCCCCACCCUGUAAUUUCUAUGUUUUGUGUUAGAAAAGAAUUGUGGUUUCUGUGAGUUGCUUCAGAGGAGCUCAGGGAAAGAGGCAGCAGGAGACAGAUGCCAUGAGAAGAUCAUGGAGGACUUCCAUUCUCCAUCAGCUUUUAUAGACUGAAUAUUAUCUCUCAGAAAGAUAUGCAUGAGUCCUAACUCCCAAUACCUGUGAAUGUGAUCUUAUUUGGAUACUGGACCUUGGCAGAUAAAAUUAAGUUAAUGCUCUUGAGAUGAAAUCACCCUGAAUUUAGGGUGCACCCCUAGACUGUUGUCUUGAUAAGGGAAGACACUGGACCUCAGGAAAGAAGAUGAUAUGAAGACUGAGACAGACGUAGGGUAGCCACAGCCAAAGAAACUGAUCUUUUCCAUCUUGCCUGGGUAUCUGCAGAGCAGCUUCCUGCCAUGAAGUAUUGUCCCUAUGCAUUCAUUGGCCUCUGUGCCUGGGAACUGCUGCAUGGGCACAGAGGGCACCUGGGUGCCUUCAGGCCAUCUGCCUCCUCAGGCUGAGGAACCAGGAACCUGGUGAGGUCCAGUCAUGUGUGAUACCUCAGUAAAACCCCCCACUCUAUCCCCCACAGACAAAGAGAAGCUUAAACCAGGAUUCGUAAGUGUAGAUAAGAA